AUAAAGAUUCUUUGGCAUGCUCCAUAGCUAAAACACUAAUGGUUACACACAUAGGCCAAUGUAGAAUGUGUAGAAUGUAUAGAUAAAACUUUGUUUAUCAUUUUUGUGUGCUCUUUAUAAUAACCUUUGUGAAGCAAGUUUGUGGACAUAAUAGUAGGAAUAUGAAUCACCACUUCUUGGUACUAACUUGUGACUCUUGGGUAGUGUGAAGUUAUUAAGAAAUGUUUAUAGAAAUAGAAUAAACUCAAUGCCGUUGAAAACUUCAACUUAAGAGAAUUUGAACUUUGAAAGCUCGUUGUCAUGUUUGUGAACUUGGGUUUAUCAUUGUUCUAUCAAAUUAGCAUCUUUACUUCCAAAUGAUAAUUAAGGUUCAUAGUGUGUUACCAAAGUAGCAUUUUAUUAUUGUUAUGGUACAUGUAUGAUGGAUGGUAGAGAUUAUAUCUAAGAACAUGAUUUUAAUCUUUUUCCUUGUCUUAAUAUCAUCUACCAACAUAAAAUCUCUUUGCC
rnacentral:lncRNA from 1 species